AUAUCAAUAAGCGGAGGAAAAGAAACUAACCAGGAUUCCCCUAGUAACGGCGAGCGAACCGGGAACAGCCCAAGCCGAAAAUCUUUGGUGCUUGCACCCUAGAAUUGUGGUCUAUCGAGGUGGCUUCUGCAGGCGCCGGUGCCCAAGUUCCCUGGAAAGGGGCGUCCGAGUGGGUGAGAACCCCGUCGGCGCCGGGCGGCCUGCUGCACGAAGUGCCUUCGGCGAGUCUUGUUGUUUGGGAAUGCAGCAAAAAGUGGGUGGUAAAUCCCAUCUAAGGCUAAAUACUGGUGGGAGACCGAUAGCGCACAAGUA
rnacentral:rRNA from 1 species